rnacentral:lncRNA from 1 species
CCCAAGACUUGCCACAACCUCUUCAUAGGUAUCUGGAUCCUCUUUUGUUGCAAAUAAUCCAUCUGACACUGUCUCCCCAUGGCUCUCCAGUAUGCGCACAUCCCGUAUAGAACCAUGUUAUGCAUCACCACCGCUGGUGUUAGAAACUGGCUCCAUCCCUGCACCCCUAGACUCUAAACCUAUGCCAAACCAUCCUACAUCCGUGGAGGCACCACUGACCAGUGCUCCACCUGAAUCAUGACUCAUCCUGGU